CUAAAUGAUCACACCUUCAAGAAGGAAUCCCAACGUCCUUCUUUCAGUUUUCGACUCAAAUUUGUUAGGAUCCUUAUCCUCCAAGGAAUUUUCAAAAUUUGAACUCGUCUCUUACAAAAAUUUCCGACCGUUGUUUUCCCCCCAACAUCCACCCAUUUUCUCCCUACAAAUCCCCUUUUUUGAACACAUAAAUUCUUCAUCAUCUAAAACAGAGCGAGGGUUUUCAGAUAGCUAAUAUAGCAGCUCAGAUUUUAGGAUUUUUUAUAGGAAAACGUUUUCUUCUUCUGCUGCAUCAGGCUUCUUUGUUCGUCAGAGUCCAGCGACCGUUUCAGUGGUGAGAUCUUCGUUGCUGUCUUGAAAAAGGUUUCCCCCACAAAAUCCACCAAUUUUCUCCCUGUAAACCCCCUUCCUUCACGGAUUUGACCAUAAAAAAACACAAAAUCUUAAUCAUCUAAAACAGAGGGGUUUUCAUAUAGCUAAUGGAAGCGUUUUCUUCUUCGGCUGUAUCAAGCUUCUUUGUUCGUGGGAGUCCAGCCACCAUUUCAGUGGUGGAAACUUCGUCUCGUCCCAAUUGCUGCCCAGAAAAAGUCAGGAUUAUUGCAUUCACAACCCAAGUCAGCUGUAGGAACACCUGCUUACAUUCCUGAGGUCCUGUUACGCAAGGAAUAUGAUGAUCCAGGAAAGCAAAGUACUAAUCUUGAAAGAGCAAGGAAGUGACCACCAAGUUGAUGAAACAAUCAGUUGUAAGUUGCAACACGCUCUUCAAUAAACAUUCGAUGAGAAAUAUCAAUAGGAGCAAGCCCAAAAAAGCACUACGUCAGGUCAAUUUUCCUUCAAAGCCAAUCCCUGAGUUGCCUUAUAAUUCUCUAACUGAAGUGACAGAGCUAAGAAUCCUUUCAUGUUUCUGCAUCCUGAUGUCUCCAUAGAUUAAGAGCGUCUCUGACAGCCUUGGCUUCAGGAGAAUUCUCCCAGGCUCUCUUUUCCGCUUCUAGAACAGUCACUUUAUCAUAAAAUCCAGUCUUAAUCAUGAGAAACUCCAUGGAACCUCCAAUCAUGGCCGAAACAACUGCAAUUUUCAGAUACCAAUCCCAGAAUUUUAUUUUACCCUUGUAACACUUCUUCAAUUCCUAGUCGCCCAAGCAAUAUUGAUUCUACUGCUUCUUCUCCGUUUUCUUGAUUUCUUCACUUCAAUGAAUCCAUUGGUUUGCUAUUUGUGCCACCAGUUUACAUGGUGUAAUGCCUAUCAAUGGGGCGCGUCUGGGACCGAUUCCUGUGAUAGUAGUUACUGUUAUUGUUUUCUUAUAAUUUAUUCAGAUGUCUCCACUUUGAACUUUACACGCCCCUUCAAAAAUAUUAGUAUGAAUAUUUCACCAUGAUAUUCCUAUUGAUUGUUAGGUCUUGAGAAACAAUGAAAAUUUGAUUAUACAUCUUAAUAUUGUUGAAUGAAGUUAACAUCUCGCUGUUUAGAUUG